rnacentral:snRNA from 1 species
GUACUCAAUUUGGCAGCCUAUAUACUAGAAUUGGAACAAUACAGAGAUUAGCCUAUCCCCUGUAUAAGAAUGACAUCCAAAUUUGUGAAGUGUUCCAUAUUAAA